rnacentral:lncRNA from 1 species
AUGUAUGGACCACCUACAAGCAAACCAAACUCAGGGCCGCCACCUUCUUCUGGCUAUGGACCGCCAACAGGUCCUAGUUACUCUGAUUCUGCUUACGGAGGGUUGCCUUCCGGCCAAAGCAGCUCUCCGAUGAAACACUUCACUCCCUCAGUCCCAUCUGGUGGAAGCAGCAACUAUCCACGACUUCCUACGGCCCGCAUCUUACCACAGGCACCACAAACUGCCUCUGGCUCUAGUAGUCCUUCAGGAACUAGAUUGCCAAUUGAUGACGUGGUGGAGAAAGUUGCUACGAUGGGAUUCUCGAGAGAUCAAGUCAG